rnacentral:rRNA from 1 species
AUUGAACGCUGGCGGCAUGCCUUACACAUGCAAGUCGAACGGUAACAGGUCUUCGGAUGCUGACGAGUGGCGAACGGGUGAGUAAUACAUCGGAACGUGCCCAGACGUGGGGGAUAACGAGGCGAAAGCUUUGCUAAUACCGCAUACGAUCUAAGGAUGAAAGCAGGGGACCGCAAGGCCUUGCGCGUUUGGAGUGGCCGAUGGCAGAUUAGGUAGUUGGUGGGAUAAAAGCUUACCAAGCCGACGAUCUGUAGCUGGUCUGAGAGGACGACCAGCCACACUGGGACUGAGACACGGCCCAGACUCCUACGGGAGGCAGCAGUGGGGAAUUUUGGACAAUGGGCGAAAGCCUGAUCCAGCAAUGCCGCGUGCAGGAUGAAGGCCUUCGGGUUGUAAACUGCUUUUGUACGGAACGAAAAGGCUCUGGCUAAUACCUGGGGCACAUGACGGUACCGUAAGAAUAAGCACCGGCUAACUACGUG